CACUUAAAUGCAUAGGGAUAGCUCAGUUGGUAGAGCACAAGACUCUUAAUUGCAGGCUCGUGGGUUCAAGCCCCAUGUUGGGUGA